rnacentral:snRNA from 1 species
UUGAUCUUGAACCACUCGCUUCUU